UAAGAUUAAUAUACAAAGAAUGCUGAAAAUGCAAUUUCCCCAUACUGUAAGACUUAAGUCUCACAUAAACUUAAUUUGUAUCUGGUUUUGGCAUUUAAAAGCCUAUAUAGGGGCGCCUGGGUGGCGCAGUCGGUUAAGCGUCCGAC